rnacentral:rRNA from 1 species
CCUACGGGUGGCAGCAGUGAGGAAUAUUGGUCAAUGGACGCAAGUCUGAACCAGCCAUGCCGCGUGCAGGAAGACGGCUCUAUGAGUUGUAAACUGCUUUUGUACGAGGGUAAAAGCAGAUACGCGGAACUGGCUGAAAGUAUCGUACGAAUAAGGAUCGGCUAACUCCGUGCCAGCAGCCGCGGUAAGACGGAGGAUUCAAGCGUUAUCCGGAGUUAUUGGGUUUAAAGGGUGCGUAGGCGGUCGGAUAAGUUAGAGGGGAAAUCCCGAGGCUCAACUUCGGAAUUGCCUCUGAUACUGUUCGGCUCGUGCGUAGUUGCGGUAGGCGGCAUGUUUGGUGUAGCCG